rnacentral:rRNA from 1 species
GACAAGCGCGGGUGGCGUCCUAAUCUAAGGCAAGUCGAACGAUUAGGCCUCUUCGUGGGUACACGAGCGGCGAACGGGAGAGUAACACGUGGUUGACCUGCACUCAGCCCUGGGAUACGCCUUGGCAACUGGGUCUCCUCGCGGAUUUGUCCUUUCCUCCGCUGGGGGUUGGUGGUAAGUUUUGUCGGCUGGGGCUGGGCACGCAGGCUAUGAGCCUGUUGGUGGGGUUGUGGACUACCAACGCAACGAAGGGUGGCCGGCCUGAGAGGGCGACCGGCCACACUGGGACUGAGACACGGCCCAGACUCCUACGGGAGGCAGCAGUGGGGAAUAUUGCGAAAUGGGCGGAAGCCUGACGCAGCGACGCCGCGUGGGGGAUGACGGCCUUCGGGUUGUAAACCUCUUUCGACCCCGACUAAUUUGGACGGUAGGGGUAGAAGAAGCACCGGCCAACUCCGUG